AAAUGAAAUGCCUGAUAAAAAGGUCUAUCUUGAUAGGAUAGCUCAUGCAAUAUUUUGCUUUCAUU
rnacentral:tRNA from 1 species